GAUGAACGCUAGCGGCAGGCUUAAUACAUGCAAGUCGAGGGACAGCACAGGUAGCAAUACUGGGUGGUAACCGGCAAACGGGUGCGGAACACGUACACAACCUUCCUUUAAGUGGGGGAUAGCCCCGAGAAAUUUGGAUUAAUACCCCGUAAUAUCGUUGAAAGGCAUCAUUUCAUUAUUAUAGCUACGGCGCUUAAUGAUUGGUGUGCGGUGGAUUAGAUAGUUGGCGGGGUAACGGCAAACCAAGUCUACGUUCAGUAGCUGAUGCUGAGAGCCUGAACAGCCACACGGGCACUGAGACACGGGCCCGACUCCUACGGGAGGCAGCAGUAAGGAAUAUUGGUCAAUGGACGCAAGUCUGAACCAGCCAUGCCGCGUGAAGGAUUAAGGUCCUCUGGAUUGUAAACUUCCUUUAUUUGAGACGAAAAAGGGCUUUUCUAGGUCAACUGACGGUACCAGAUGAAUAAGCACCGGCUAACUCCGUGCCAGCAGCCGCCGUAAUAC
rnacentral:rRNA from 1 species